rnacentral:rRNA from 1 species
CGUGUAGGCGGCCAAGCAGGUCUGUUGUGAAAACUGGAGGCUCAACCUCCAGACGUCGACAGAAACCGCUUGGCUAGAGUCCGGAAGAGGAGAGUGGAAUUCCUGGUGUAGCGGUGAAAUGCGCAGAUAUCAGGAAGAACACCAAUGGCGAAGGCAGCUCUCUGGGAGGUACUGACGCUGAGCGACGAAGCGUGGGAGCGAACA